rnacentral:rRNA from 1 species
UAGGGAAUCUUCCACAAUGGACGCAAGUCUGAUGGAGCAACGCCGCGUGAGUGAAGAAGGUCUUCGGAUCGUAAAACUCUGUUGUUAGAGAAGAACACGAGUGAGAGUAACUGUUCAUUCGAUGACGGUAUCUAACCAGCAAGUCACGGCUAACUACGUGCCAGCAGCCGCGGUAAUACGUAGGUGGCAAGCGUUGUCCGGAAUUAUUGGGCGUAAAGAGAGUGCAGGCGGUUUUCUAAGUCUGAUGUGAAAGCCUUCGGCUUAACCGGAGAAGUGCAUCGGAAACUGGAUAACUUGAGUGCAGAAGAGGGUAGUGGAACUCCAUGUGUAGCGGUGGAAUGCGUAGAUAUAUGGAAGAACACCAGUGGCGAAGGCGGCUACCUGGUCUGCAACUGACGCUGAGACUCGAAAGCAUGGGUAGCGAACAGGAUUAGAUACCCUGGUAGUCCAUGCCGUAAACGAUGAGUGCUAAGUGUUGGGAGGUUUCCGCCUCUCAGUGCUGCAGCUAACGCAUUAAGCACUCCGCCUGGGGAGUACGACCGCAAGGUUG